GACGAACCGAGCGAACGUUAUUCGGAAUCACUGGGCUUAAAGGGCGCGUAGGCGGGCCCGAAAGUCAGACGUGAAAUCCCUCGGCUUAACCGGGGAACUGCAUCUGAUACUGGAUGGCUUGAGUUCGGGAGAGGGAUGCGGAAUUCCAGGUGUAGCGGUGAAAUGCGUAGAUAUCUGGAGGAACACCGGUGGCGAAGGCGGCAUCCUGGACCGACACUGACGCUGAGGAGCGAAAGCCAGGGGAGCAAACGGG
rnacentral:rRNA from 1 species